rnacentral:rRNA from 1 species
GUCGAGAAUCUUUCACAAUGGGGGCAACCCUGAUGGAGCGACGCCGCGUGGAGGAUAAGGUCUUCGGAUUGUAAACUCCUGUCAUGCGUGAACAAGGUUGCUUGGUUAAUACCUGGGCAAAUUGAUGGUAACGCAAGAGGAAGAGACGGCUAACUCUGUGCCAGCAGCCGCGGUAAUACAGAGGUCUCAAGCGUUGUUCGGAAUCACUGGGCGUAAAGGGUGCGUAGGUGGCGUGGUAAGUCAGAUGUGAAAGCCCGGGGCUCAACCUCGGAACUGCAUCCGAUACGGCCAUGCUAGAGUACUGGAGAGGUGACUAGAAUUCUCGGUGUAGCAGUGAAAUGCGUAGAUAUCGAGAGGAAUACCAAAGGCGUAGGCAGGUCACUGGACAGUUACUGACACUGAGGCACGAAGGCCAGGGGAGCGAACGGGAUUAGAUACCCGGGUAGUCC